UACGUAGAGUGCAAGCGUUGUCCGGAAUUAUUGGGCGUAAAGAGCGUGUAGGCGGCUUUGCAAGUCCGUUGUGAAAACUCGAGGCUCAACCUCGAGACGCCGGUGGAAACUGCAAAGCUAGAGUCCGGAAGAGGAGAGUGGAAUUCCUGGUGUAGCGGUGAAAUGCGCAGAUAUCAGGAAGAACACCCGUGGCGAAGGCGGCUCUCUGGGACGGUACUGACGCUGAGACGCGAAAGCGUGGGGAGCGAACAGG
rnacentral:rRNA from 1 species